rnacentral:rRNA from 1 species
AUUGAACGCUGGCGGCAGGCUUAACACAUGCAAGUCGAGCGAGCGGCGGACGGGUGAGUAAUGUCUGGGAAACCGCCUGAUGGAGGGGGAUAACUACCGGAAACGGUAGCUAAUACCGCAUACCAUCAGAUGUGCCCAGAUGGGAUUAGCUAGUAGGUGGGGUAAUGGCACACCUAGGCGACGCUCCCUAGCUGGUCUGAGAGGAGGACCAGCCCCACUGGAACGGAGACCCGGUCCAGGCUCCUUCGGUAGGCACCAGUGGGUCAUCUUGCACAAUUGGCAGAAGCCCGAUCCAGCCGUGCCGCGUUUGUGAAGGAGGCCUGCGGGUUGUGGAGCACUUUCAGCGAGGGGGCGUUACUCGCAGAAGAAGCACCGGCUAACUCCGUGCCAGCAGCCGCGGUAAUUC